GCCUUAUCUGGAUCGGGUUUCGCUGGCUAACGUGUUGUGCGAGCGAGCAAAAAAAACUUCAAUUCGUUGUCGACGAAACCUGCACGGAGUAAGGC
rnacentral:pre_miRNA from 2 species